AAAACUUUAAAAAAUGUACAUUCAAUUAAAAAAUAUAUAUUGUAAGAAAAUGCAAUUAAAAAAUAUAUAUUCUUAGUGAAUGAUGAAUGUAUGAUUGAAUGUGAAAAAAGUGUGUAACUAAUACAAAUAAGAGGUAAAUAAAUUUAAAGAUAACCAUCAGAUGAACAUCAUGUGGUAGUGUAGUAAUUGGUUCAUAUUAUUU
rnacentral:lncRNA from 1 species